rnacentral:rRNA from 1 species
CCUACGGGAGGCAGCAGUGAGGAAUAUUGGUCAAUGGACGAGAGUCUGAACCAGCCACGUAGCGUGAAGGAUGACUGCCCUAUGGGUUGUAAACUUCUUUUAUAAAGGAAUAAAACGAGGCACGUGUUCCUUUUUGCAUUUACUUUAUGAAUAAGGAUCGGCUAACUCCGUUCCCGCAGCCUCGUUAAUACGGAGGAUCCGAGCGUUAUCCGCAUUUCUUGGGUUUAACUGGAGCGUAGAUGGGUUGUUAAGUCAGGUGUGAAAGUUUGCGGCUCAACCGUAAAAUUGCAAUUGAUACUGGCAGUCUUGAGUAUAGGUGAGGUAGGUGGAAUUCGUGGUGUAGAGGUGAAAUGCUUAGAUAUCACGAAGAACCCCGAUUGCGAAGGCAGCUUACUAAACUGUGACUGACAUUGAUGCUCGAAAGUGUGGGUAGCAAACAGGAUUAGAUACCCUAGUAGUC